AGUCACUGACAUUAGAUACCCGCGUAGUCCAGGGUGUAAACGCUGCAGACUUGGUGUUGGGAACCCUUCGGGGGUGCUCAGUGCCGGAGAGAAGUUGUUAAGCCUGCUGCUUGGGGAGUACGUCCGCAAGGAUGAAACUUAAAGGAAUUGGCGGGGAGCACCGCAACGGGAGGAGCGUGCGGUUCAAUUGGAUUCAACGCCGGACAACUCACCAGGAGCGACGGUUACAUGAAGGCCAGGCUGAUGACCUUGCCUGAUUUUCCG
rnacentral:rRNA from 1 species